UACAGAGGUCCCAAGCGUUGUUCGGAUUCAUUGGGCGUAAAGGGUGCGUAGGUGGCGCCGUAAGUCGGGUGUGAAAUUUCGGAGCUUAACUCCGAAACUGCAUUCGAUACUGCGGUGCUUGAGGACUGGAGAGGAGACUGGAAUUCAUGGUGUAGCAGUGAAAUGCGUAGAGAUCAUGAGGAAGACCAGUGGCGAAGGCGGGUCUCUGGACAGUUCCUGACACUGAGGCACGAAGGCCAGGGGAGCAAACAGGAUUAGAUACCCUGGUAGUCC
rnacentral:rRNA from 1 species